rnacentral:rRNA from 1 species
UACGAAGGGGGCUAGCGUUGCUCGGAAUCACUGGGCGUAAAGCGCACGUAGGCGGAUUGCUAAGUCGGGGGUGAAAUCCUGGAGCUCAACUCCAGAACUGCCUUCGAUACUGGGAGCUCGAGUCCGGGAGAGGUGAGUGGAACUGCGAGUGUAGAGGUGAAAUUCGUAGAUAUUCGCAAGAACACCAAGUGGCGAAGGCGGCUCACUGGCCCGGUACUGACGCUGAGGUGCGGAAAGCGUGGGGAGCAACAGGG